rnacentral:tRNA from 1 species
AGCCUUGUAUUCAUUUUGUGAUGACAGAAUGCAAUUCUGUAGGGGUGGACUUAAAAGUUUACCAAGGCCU